rnacentral:rRNA from 1 species
ACGGGUGAGUAACGCGUGGGAACGUGCCUUUCGGUUCGGAAUAACUCAGGGAAACUUGAGCUAAUACCGGAUACGCCCUUCGGGGGAAAGAUUUAUCGCCGAAAGAUCGGCCCGCGUCCGAUUAGCUAGUUGGUGAGGUAAUGGCUCACCAAGGCGACGAUCGGUAGCUGGUCUGAGAGGAUGAUCAGCCACACUGGGACUGAGACACGGCCCAGACUCCUACGGGAGGCAGCAGUGGGGAAUAUUGGACAAUGGGCGCAAGCCUGAUCCAGCCAUGCCGCGUGAGUGAUGAAGGCCCUAGGGUUGUAAAGCUCUUUCGCCAGGGACGAUAAUGACGGUACCUGGAUAAGAAGCCCCGGCUAACUUCGUGCCAGCAGCCGCGGUAAUACGAAGGGGGCUAGCGUUGUUCGGAAUCACUGGGCGUAAAGCGCACGUAGGCGGAUCUUUAAGUCAGGGGUGAAAUCCCGAGGCUCAACCUCGGAACUGCCUUUGAUACUGGAGGUCUAGAGUCCGGGAGAGGUGAGUGGAACUGCGAGU